AUGUUGGGUUGUUGCAAGACGACAUCCCUGCAUGGAAUCAGUUGUUGUUGCAAAUUUGUUGAAGGAUUUGUUGUUGUUGUUGUCAUUGUUGUUGUUGUGCUUGUUGCUGCGAAAUUGUUUGUUGUGGUUGCGGAUACUGUGGUUGUGGUUGUGGAUAUGAUUGUUGUGGUGGAAAUGGUUGCGGCUGCGGACAUGGUAGUUGUGGAGGAAAUGGUUGCGGCUGCGGAUAUGGUAGUUGUGGCAGAAAUGGUUGCGGCUGCGGAUAUGGCUGUUGUGGUGGAAAUGGUUGUUGUUGCCCUGGAAAUUGUUGUUGUUGCUGCCCUAGAAAUUGUUGUUGUUGCACCAAUGGAACUUGCUCUUGUGGUUGUUGCUGAGAUGGAUUUUGUGGCUGCAAUUGUGGCACUGGAACUCUAA
rnacentral:rRNA from 1 species